CUAGUUAAAAAAGUUGACAAUAAUUGUGAUCAAUCCAGCUAUUUGAGGGCCCUUUGUGUUCCUUGUCUCUUUGCUCUGCAUUUUCUCAUCUCUGUUUAAGAUUCCCACUGCAACCCUUCUCACCAUCUUUUUUUCUCUACAGGAAAUAUUAAAAUCUUUUCUCUUCUUUAAUUUCUACUUAAUUUCUCACAUUUCCUUCACUUUGAUUUCCACUCUCCUUUUAACAGAAAAAGAAGAAGCUACCUCCUAUUUUCUUUUUCUUGAAUCCCAUUCUCUUUUAUUUGCCCAAAAAAAAACCUGCUUUUACUUUGUGUUUUUGCUUCUGUUGAAAUUCCAUUUAUUUUAAAGUAGCAGCAGCAGCAGCUCUGCCGUGGUGUCUCUUUUUUGAAAAAAAAAAAACCUGCUUUUACUUUCUGUCUUUGCUUCAGUUGAAGUUCCAUUUAUUUUAAAGUAGUAGCAGCAGCAGCUCAUAAACAGUGAUGAUUUAUUGUAAUUGAGGUUUCGAAAUAAUUCUGAGAGAAUCUAAUCAGGAUGCGGCGUUGAACAUCGGACGGCUGCUUUUAGAGUAGACGUGUAGAUUUUGGUUAACGGAGUAGAGGUGCUAGAUGAGAAUGAGCACAGAUCCGGAAGAUUCAAAUGCGAAGCUAAAUCGAGGAAAGGAAAAGUUCGGGAUUAGUAGAUUUUCUGUUUACAAACAAGUAUCAAGUGUUAAGAGCUCGGAGCUCGGAUUUGGUGGGAGACACAUCACAAUCAUCAACCUCGUGGAUUUCUAUAAUGUCAUCCGACCGAGCUCAAUCUGAGGAAGCUGGGAGUCAUGUUCCGGCUUUAGUACAAAGAGAAGAAACUAGCAAUAGAAGGCCCGAGACAGAGGGUCGAGGGGAGGAGGCAAAAAUAGCCUUCUUUCAAAUUAUGAAUGAAUGGUUUAAUCAAUACUUAAGAACUAACCCUAUAGUGCAGCAAGUUCAAGUUCCCCCUCCUGCUCCUCCACCGGUUCCCGAGAUCCCACAAGGUGCAGUCUUGAAUCAUCGGAAAAGGAAAGCUCCAGAGAUAAAAUUGAAAAUAUGGGGUAAGAAUUUCGAGCAAAGAUUGAUGAUGAUUCCGAGCAGGGUGAAUUACGGUUAGAAAACACUACUCGGGUUCGGAAGAAUUAUCUUGUACACCGAAGAAUGUCUAAAAUGUGCCAUCUCACCGCUAAAAGAUACUGACUUACCAUUGGUGGAAUACUAAAGCUUCAGUUGUUCCGAAGAAGAAAUUACAUGGGAAUUCUUUCGCAUCGAGUUCGAAAAAAUAUAUCGACCAGAGGUUCCUUGACGAAAAGAAAAGAAUUUCUUGAAUGAAACAGACAAUAGAUCGAUGUCUGAAUAUGAAAGAGAAUUUGUUCGAUUGAGUAAAUAUGCUCGAGAAUGGGUACAAUCGGUCAAAUGUGCAAACGAUUCAAGAAGGGUUGAAUGAAGACAUUAAGUUCUUGAUCGAAAUUCUUGAAAUUCGAGAGUUUGCUACAUUGGCAGAGAGAGCUUAUAAAGCAGAAGAAUUGAACAAAGAAAAGAAACAGGCUGAGAGAGAAGCUCGAAUUUUUAGUAAAAGACCGAUGGGAAAAUCCCGUUACGCUUCAAAGAAAUUGAAGAAAUAUCGGAUCGUUCUACUUGACCAUUGGGUAUUCGGGCAAAGAGCGAAGUUCUCAACGCACUAAUCCAAGGCCUUCUACUCCAUCAGUGACCAGUGUUGGCAGUGUUGGCACUCCUAAACCGAGAUGCCAGUACUGUAAUAAAGCUCAUUUUGGUGAAUGCCGAUUUAAGAGUGAGGCUUGUUACCGAUGUGGUUCUUUUGACUAUUUCCUCAGAGAUUGUCCAGAAAGGGGUGAAAAAGAAGCUGAACAGAUAUCGAAGUUGAGUAAUCCAGUUUCGAGAGGUAGACCACCUCGACCAUCCGGUAAUGUCAGUGGUUGUCGAGGAGCUACAAAAGAUACUGCAGGUAGGCCUGAGGCACGAGCACCUGCUAGGACAUAUGCCAUUCGUGCCAGAGAAGAUGCCUCAGCACCCGAUGUUAUUACUGUGUUCAGAGCUCGGAGGUCGGAUUUGGUCGGAGACACAUCACACUGUCAACCUCAGGAUUUCGGUAUAUAAAGAAACUUUAUUUUGGAAAUCAAUGGCAUGUAUAAGCUAACAAAGUAAAUGUUAACGUGAAAUGAAUGUAAAGUUAGCCAUUAGUAUGGUUAACAAACCUGGUUAUAGAUAUGUGAUGACGUUAUCUUAUAUAAAUGCAUGAAUCUAUCAUGAAAA